UACGGAGGGUGCAAGCGUUAUCCGGAUUCACUGGGUCUAAAGGGUGCGUAGGAGGGCAGGUAAGUCAGUGGUGAAAUCUCCAAGCUUAACUUGGAAACUGCCGUUGAUACUAUCUGUCUUGAAUAUUGUGGAGGUGAGCGGAAUAUGUCAUGUAGCGGUGAAAUGCUUAGAUAUGACAUAGAACACCAAUUGCGAAGGCAGCUCACUACACAAUCAUUGACUCUGAGGCACGAAAGCGUGGGGAUCAAACAGG
rnacentral:rRNA from 1 species